ensembl:snRNA U7 U7 small nuclear RNA
UGAUGUUUAGCUCUUUUAGUAUUUGUCUAGAAGGUUUUCUCCGUGUCGAAUGCCCCG